rnacentral:rRNA from 1 species
ACAUCCAGAGAACUUAGCAGAGAUGCUUUGGGUGCCUUCGGGAACUCUGAGACAGGUGCUGCAUGGCUGUCGUCAGCUCGUGUUGCGAAAUGUUGGGUUAAGUCCCGNAACGAGCGCAACCCUUAUCCUUUGUUGCCAGCGGUUCGGCCGGGAACUCAAAGGAGACUGCCGGUGAUAAACCGGAGGAAGGUGGGGAUGACGUCAAGUCAUCAUGGCCCUUACGGCCAGGGCUACACACGUGCUACAAUGGCGCAUACAAAGAGAAGCGACCUCGCGAGAGCAAGCGGACCUCAUAAAGUGCGUCGUAGUCCGGAUUGGAGUCUGCAACUCGACUCCAUGAAGUCGGAAUCGCUAGUAAUCGUAGAUCAGAAUGCUACGGUGAAUACGUUCCCGGGCCUUGUACACACCGCCCGUCACACCAUGGGAGUGGGUUGCAAAAGAAGUAGGUAGCUUAACCUUCGGGAGGGCGCUUACCACUUUGUGAUUCAUGACUGGGGUGAAGUCGUAACAAGGUAGGCGUAGCGAG